CUCCCCAACACCCUUCCCUUGGUUACCCUCAGGUAUGGAGUCCAGAGUGGAGUCAGCCAUGCUCAGACCUUGACCCCCUUUUUUUAAAUUUAAUUUUUAGUAGAGAUAGGGGGUCUCACUAUGUUGCCCAGGCUAGCCUCAAACUCCCAAUCUCAAGCGAUCCUCCCCCCUUGGCUUCCAAAGUGCUGAGAUUACGGAUCUGAGCCUCCACGCCUGCCCUGAGCCUCGCCCUGCGGCUGCCUGGGCUCCUCCCCGCCUCCGCCCCGGACCACCAGGGGGCGCUGUGAAGCCUGAGACUGGCCGGGCUUCACCUUGGACCCGCCAGGAGUCCCUGCAGGAGUUGGGAGCCCCGCCAGCCACAGCUACUUCCCCGACCCUCCCGGCUUCCCACCGCUGAUUGGACCAGGCAUGGGCAUCUGACUGAGGGGAGCCUAUCCAUAGGCUGGCCAGUGAUCUAUCAGGGCUGGCCUAGUGAGAACACGGCCAAUCAGAUGCUUUCCUGGAACCCGGGGCCAAAGCUGCCCCAGGGGAGUGUGGUAGCCGCAGGCAGAAGGGCUAGCCCGGAGACAGGAGGGGGAGGUCCGAGGAGGGGAUCCCGGCGAGGGAGACGCGGGGCGAGUGGCCUGGGCUCCUCCUUGGCUUGACCCAGCUUAGACUUUCUCAAACCGAAGUCAUUCUCGCUGGCUCCUGGCGACUCUCAUCCUGUCCGCUGUCACCCUUUCGUGAUUGACCUGAAAUCACUUCGUCACUGCAGCCGCACCCUAAGCAUUCAUCUCAUAUCUGUGAUGUUUGCUGUGCUCCUUAUGUUUGCUCUAAUAUGGGUUAAACCAAAUUCAACACCAUCAAAAUAAUGUUCUUCCAUUUGCACACCCACUUUCACAGUAGCAGCGUUCCCAACAGCCAAAAGGUGGGAGCAGCCCACGGGUCCACGGACGGGUGAAGGGGUGAGCAAACAGUCUAUACGGACAGUGGAGAGCUCUUUAACCGCAGAAAGAAGGAAAUUCUGCAUAUGCUGCAACAUGGAUGAAAGACACAGAGUCUGGCUCUGGGGCCCAGGCUUGAGUGCAGUGGUGAGACGGGAGAAUAAGUCCUAGAGGAAGGGAACCUGAGGACUUCCCAGAACUAAAUCAGAUGGAGAGGAGAGAGGAGGCAUUUCAGCUACGACAGGAAAUAUCCUCUUCAUUUGCAUAGGGCGUUCACCAAGGUGCACACCAAAUAACCAAUGGAAACCUCUAGAGAGUAUUUAAACUCCAGAAAAUUCUGUGACGGGCUCUUGAGCCAACGUGCUCCGGCCGCUCCCACUCUGUGCAGUCGACUGUACUUUUGUUUUCAAUAAAACUCUGCUUUUGUUUCUUCA
rnacentral:lncRNA from 1 species